UGGGGGAUAUUGCACAAUGGGCGAAAGCCUGAUGCAGCGACGCCGCGUGGGGGAUGAAGGCUUUCGGGUUGUAAACCUCUUUCGCUAUCGAACAAGGCCCGCUUAGGGUGGGUUGAGGGUAGGUGGAGAAGAAGCGCCGGCUAACUACGUGCCAGCAGCCGCGGUAAUACGUAGGGCGCGAGCGUUGUCCGGAAUUAUUGGGCGUAAAGGGCUUGUAGGCGGCUUGUUGCGCCUGCUGUGAAAACGCGGGGCUUAACUUCGCGCGUGCAGUGGGUACGGGCAGGCUUGAGUGCGGUAGGGGUGACUGGACUUCCAGGUGUAGCGGUGGCAUGCGCAGAUAUCUGGAGGAACACCGAUGGCGAAGGCAGGUCACUGGGCCAUUACUGACGCUGAGGAGCGAUAGCAUGGGUAGCGAACAGG
rnacentral:rRNA from 1 species